rnacentral:rRNA from 1 species
GUUUGANUCUGGCUCAGGACGAACGCUGGCGGCGUGCCUAAUACAUGCAAGUAGAACGCUGAGGACUGGUGCUUGCACUGGUCUAAGGAGUUGCGAACGGGUGAGUAACGCGUAGGUAACCUACCUCAUAGCGGGGGAUAACUAUUGGAAACGAUAGCUAAUACCGCAUGACAAUAGGGUACACAUGUACCUUAUUUAAAAGGGGCAACUGCUUCACUAUGAGAUGGACCUGCGUUGUAUUAGCUAGUUGGUAAGGUAACGGCUUACCAAGGCGACGAUACAUAGCCGACCUGAGAGGGUGAUCGGCCACACUGGGACUGAGACACGGCCCAGACUCCUACGGGAGGCAGCAGUAGGGAAUCUUCGGCAAUGGGGGGAACCCUGACCGAGCAACGCCGCGUGAGUGAAGAAGGUUUUCGGAUCGUAAAGCUCUGUUGUUAGAGAAGAACGGUAAUGGGAGUGGAAAAUCCAUUACGUGACGGUAACUAACCAGAAAGGGACGGCUAACUACG